GAAGAGGACUGUGUCCUGGGGCACGACUCCAAUGUGGGACCGGAGGGAGACCUGGGUCACCUGGGGCCAAAAGACCAUAUGCCCUGGCUUGUGAGGUCCCCCAGGCCUGGCAGGAAUCACACGGGAUGAGAGGCCCUGGCAGGUCAAACAUGUUCUCCAUGUCAAUGAAGUUGGUCUGGAUCAUCCUGCAGGAAGAGUGCUGGUUGGAGCUCCUCUGAGGAGCUGGGAGAAAAACGGUGCACCCCGGACAGGCCAUUGUUCUCAGUAGGCCUCAAACCAGCAUCCUCACCUGAUAUUUGAUGAUGGCCUCUCGAUAGCGGUCCACUUCAUAACUCUGCGCGUUGUAAUACUUCACCUGAUGAAUCAAACCACUGUUGUGGCCGCAGCAUUCAGCACCCGGACUCUUUCCUCCAGAUUUCCAACCUCUCCUGCCCAAUUUUAAAAAGCACACCUCGCACCCCCCAGCUCCUCGUCAGCCCCGGUGGUGCCAGGCAAACUCCACAUCUCCGUGCCUCACACCACUGCCACUGAGGCCUC